CCCUUUGGGCUCAAGCCUCCAGCUCUCACCUUUCUCACUGCAUGGGCCAGUGGCAAACUGCCAUCCACUUGUUCCUUCAGCAAACGUUUCUCGACCUUCUGCUGGUCUAGGCUGGGCUGUGAAGGCGAUGGGUAGAUUACAGAUGGGCUUGUAGAUUUUAUGAGCUGGAAGAACUCUCCAGUCCAACACUGCCAUCUUACAAAUGAGGAAACUGAGGACCGGAAAAUGAAGGCUACCAUGGAAGCCCUAGCCAGGUCUAGAGGAGGAAGAGACGUUGAGCCUGCCUACUCCAUCCCCUCAAUCCUCCGACGAAGCCCGGAGAGAAAUCAGUGACUUGGCCAAAGUCGUUGAGAGUUCCAGAGGACCAGAGGGAAGCGGACAGAGAACCGAGGUCUCUUUGAGCCAGGAUCUAGGGGAAGGGGGCCUCAUCAUGUCAUGCGGGCCCUCGACGAAAGAGGGUGGAAGCUGGCAACUUAGUAUGCACGAGACAAAAUAGUUUUAGGAGAAUUUGUGCUCAGCGGGAAAAAAAAAAUGACCCAGACCGUCACUUUUGGAAAGUGACGCAGCGUCCUCCUUCCCAGAAGGCCCGGCUCCCAGCGCCUCUUUUUGGACGGCGCGCAAAGCUGGGGCUGAUUUCCUCUUGGACGUCCUGCCACGGCCUCAGAUGUGACCCGACCAACGCAGGACUCUUCCUGUUCUCCCCCCGCGGAGCUCCCUCCCGAGGCUCCUCCGCGGGUCCGAGCCUCUUCUUUGCUUUCUCCCUGCUCUGCUCUGUCUUGGUCUCCAAGCCCAGGACUCUGGAAUCUUAGAGAGGGCAGGGGCGCGGGUGUAUCAUGGCCUGCACCUGAACACCCUCCAUGGUGUUCCCAGCCUCUGGGGGAAUCCUCCAGUGACAGGGAGCUCACUAACGCAGGAAGAGGCCCACUCCCUGCCUAAAAGGGAUGCUUUUAGGAUUUUCUUCCUGACAUCAAGGGCAUGUGAGCCCCUCUGGAACUUCAGCUCUUUGCUUUGGAUUCUCUCCUUUGGGUCCAGGAAAGAAUGUAGUCCCACCUCCACACGUGGGCCCUGCAAGUACUUGAGGAUAGCUGUCAUGGCCCCUCAACGAGGCUCAUCCUCAUUGUCUCCUGCUGCAUGUGCUGCGGUUCAGCAGUGUCCUUC